rnacentral:rRNA from 1 species
UACGUAGGGACCAAGCGUUGUUCGGAUUUACUGGGCGUAAAGGGCGCGUAGGCGGCGUGACAAGUCACUUGUGAAAUCUCCGGGCUUAACUCGGAACGGUCAAGUGAUACUGUUUGUGCUAGAGUACAGAAAGGGGGCAAAUCGGAAAUUCUUUGGUGUAGCGGUGAAAUGCGUAGAUAUCAAGAGGAACACCAGAGGCGAAGGCGGAUUGCUGGGCUGAUACUGACGCUGAGGCGCGAAAAGCUAGGGGUAGCAAAACGGGG